AAAGUUGGUGGUGAAAUCCCAGAGCUUAACUCUGGAACUGCCAUCAAAACUUUUCAGCUAGAGUUUGAUAGAGGAAAGCAGAAUUUCUAGUGUAGAGGUGAAAUUCGUAGAUAUUAGAAAGAAUACCAAUUGCGAAGGCAGCUUUCUGGAUCAUUACUGACACUGAGGAACGAAAGCAUGGGUAGCGAAGAGGAUUAGAUACCCUCGUAGUCCAUGCCGUAAACGAUGUGUGUUAGACGUUGGAAAUUUAUUUUCAGUGUCGCAGCGAAAGCGAUAAACACACCGCCUGGGGAGUACGACCGCAAGGUUAAAACUCAAAUGAAUUGACGGGGACCCGCACAAGUAGUGGAGCAUGUGGUUUAAUUCGAAGAUACGCGCAGAACCUUACCAACACUUGACAUGUUCGUCGCGACUUUAAGAGAUUAAAGUUUUCGGUUCGGCCGGACGAAACACAGGUGCUGCAUGGCUGUCGUCAGCUCGUGUCGUGAGAUGUUGGGUUAAGUCCCGCAACGAGCGCAACCCUCACUUUUAGUUGCCAUCAUUUAGUUGGGCACUCUGAAAGAACUGCCAGUGAUAAGCUGGAGGAAGGUGGGGAUGACGUCAAGUCCUCAUGGCCCUUACGUGUUGGGCUACACACGUGCUACAAUGGUAUUUACAACAGGAAGCAAAACGGCGACGUUAAGCAAAUCCUAAAAAAAUACCUCAGUUCGGAUUGCACUCUGCAACUCGAGUGCAUGAAGCUGGAAUUACUAGUAAUCGUGGAUCAGCGUGCCACGGUGAAUGCGUUCCCGGGUCUUGUACACACCGCCCGUCACACCAUGGGAGUUGGUUCUACCUUAAGGCAAGGUUUAAAACCCUUGACCACGGUAUAGUCAGCGACUGGGGUGAAGUCG
rnacentral:rRNA from 1 species